AAGACGACGUAAAGAAGAGGAGAAAGGGGUUCUUUUUGGAGAUGACUGGCGACUUGGGUGCGAGGCAUGUGCUGCACGAAGCUUCCCCAAAGUGGAGAUUAGCCUGAAGCCUCUGCAAAGCCAUGGAGUGGGGUGGGCUAACUUUGCAGCUUUAUUUUCUUUCUUGCUUUCCCCUUUGUUCUUUUUUUUUUCUUUUUUAUGCAGAUUUGAUAUGAUGGGAGAAGCAACUGUGGCAGGGAAACAGCAGGUGCUAUCAUCACACUAUCCUCCAAUUCCAGGAUUAUGAACUCGAUGCUAUCUGAUGGCAGUCCAAGUGAAUCUAGAGUUCAUAUGACUCGUCCAAGUUGGUAGGAAGCAGCGCCGUUGAUGAUUGACCCGUCUUGCCUGCUCUUAUCUGCAUUUCUGGAUGGCCCAAUGUAACCGUCGCCGCACUGUCAAGUUAAAUUCUCACGGCGACCAGAUUUGUUUAGUUAAUUGCAGCUAUCGUGAGGCACGAUGUUAGGCUUCACCCCACUUUCUGGAAGAGUAUUAGGUGUAGAUUUGGCUGCAUUGAGCCAACAAGGGAGUUGUGACAUUUGUUUUCCAAAUUCAGAGACCCUUUCUUUUCAAAAUCUCAUAACUUGUAAAUUAUCCAACACAUGUUUUGUCCCUUGUGGACCAGAGGUAUUUCCUUCAUAAUAGACAUCUCUGCUCCUCAUAAGACAGCCUCCGUUCCAUCAAAUGAUACGUGUAACAUUGAGGCAUAACUUAACCAAACAU